UACGGAGGAUCCAAGCGUUAUCCGGAUUUAUUGGGUUUAAAGGGUGCGUAGGCGGCUUUUUAAGUCAGGGGUGAAAGACGGUAGCUUAACUAUCGCAGUGCCUUUGAUACUGAAGAGCUUGAAUGGACUAGAGGUAGGCGGAAUGUGACAAGUAGCGGUGAAAUGCAUAGAUAUGUCACAGAACACCAAUUGCGAAGGCAGCUUACUAUGGUUUAAUUGACGCUGAGGCACGAAAGCGUGGGGAUCAAACAGG
rnacentral:rRNA from 2 species